GGCAACUCCUGGCUCUGGUUGUGAGCUGCCCCUGGCAGUCUGGUUUUGAGUAGCUCCUGGCACUGGUUCUGAGCUACUCCUGGAAAACUAGCUAGUAUUCUGGUCUGUGUUAUAUGUAGAAUUGUAUUCUGUGUUAAUGGUUUUCCAAA